CCCCUAUGUAGCCUCCAAGUCUACAAACCACAGCUGCAGUCAGUCUCAUCUCAUCUCCAGACAGUCAAGGUAUGGAAAUUGGCCAUCGGUAUCAGAGCUGAGCUGGCUGCUUUUGUGAGUCUGGUCUUAUUUUUGAUUUCAAGAAUGUAUGUCUCUCAUUCUCUUGACAGCAGAGGAUAGGCUGUCUUCGUACCCCACAGAAUACCUACUACAGGGCCUGCUGCAUAGAAGAUCUUCAAUAAAUAUGUGUUUCUGCUGUCUAUAAAGUUAAUGAACCACAACAUAAGGAAGAAAAGAAGUGGACUAUACUGGUUGGUGCAGCCUUCCCCAAGCACUCACCCACACACUGCCUUCACUGCUCCGACCAGUCACUGCACAGAGCUCUUCUUGGUGGAUGAGAUGCAACUUACGUAAUGAGAAUGGAGGCGUUUCAGGCAAUGUGACAGAGACAUGUGCAGAUGAAGAAGGAUUUUCAGCCCCUCUGCGGGAAACUGGAAUUGGCAAAUGGUUACUCAGUAAGUGAAGAGAACUGACUUCAUCAUCCUCAGCAAAGUUUCCAGUGCUACAAGAAUUCAAGCCUUACAGCUCUGCUCCUACAAUUGUCAGAGGCCUCUUGGGGAUGGCAAGUACAAAGGAGACUGAAGAAAGACAUAUUCCAGUCACCCCCAAGUUCAUUUCCACUUCAGGCUGAGAGCCUGCUGGCCAAGGGGAAGCUCUGUCUCUUUCAAUUUGGUUUGAAUUGAGACCAUCCAUCCUGGGUGAGCUGCAUUCCAGGCUUUUCUCUUGCUGAUGUCAAAAGGCUGAAUGUGGACUUCAGGACGGCUUGAGGGCUGUCUUGCCUGCUAACACUGAUUUUAUGAUAUGCUAAACAUAACAUUCAAUAGCUAUUACUUCCACUGUCAGAGAAACAACUUGAGCUAUCUAUCUUCCUCCUCAGACUAUAUUACAUUUCUCCCUGCAAAUGACAAUGCAUUAUAAUAUCUUUUAUUAUAAUAUUACUUAUUUAUCGCCAAAGGUUUUCCAGCAUUAAUGCUGAGGGCUCUCAUUCUUUAUCUGCUUUUUGGUUUGUUUGUUAUGAAUGUCACAUUUUAUUUAUCAAGAUGGGCUCUGUUCAGAAUUUGUGGAGCUACACUCUUCUGAUUUACUUCUUAUGCAAACCUGAGCUUUUAUCUCAUUAGAUUUCUCAGCAUGUAAUAAGCGCAGGAUGGACAUCGUGUUCUACUUUCUUGCUUUGUCAAAGGACCCAAAGGGAAAGCAUCAGGAUUUAGGAUUAUAGGACUUCAACCUUGAAAAUGAGUUCCUAGCCAGGCACAGUGGCCCAUGCCUAUAAUCCUAGCACUUCGGGAGGCUGAGGCGGGUGGAUCAUGAGGUCAGGAGUUCAAUACUAGCCUGACCAAUAUGGUGAAACCCCAUCUUUACUAAAAAUACAAAAAUUAGCUGGGCAUGCUGGCACGCGCCUGUAGUCCCAGCUACUUGGGAGGCUGAGGCAGGAGAAUCACUUGAACCUGGGAAGUGCGGAGGUUGCAGUGAGCCAAGAUUGUGCCACUGCACUCCAGCCUAGGUGACAGGGUGAGAUUCUGUCUAAAAUUAAAAAAAAAAAAAAAAAAUAGAAAAUGAGUUCCUGGGGUAGUCUGUGCCAGUGCUCCCCUCUCUUAAGACAAGACUUUAACCUUAAUAGUCCCAUUUUAGCAGGAACUUUGCAGAAGGAGCUCCCAUGCUAGUUCUUGGUACAUUGUUCCAGUUUUUAGCAGCCUUCCUUUUGAGAAGCUCUUUCCCCACAUCCCCCUCUAAAUUAAAGCUCUUUCCUUAUGUCCAGUCAAAACUGUGAUAGUCUGCUAAGACAUCAUUUCUCUAAGAAGGGUACUGGAAACCCCAAUAUGGAAAAUCUCUUAAAUGGCAUACACACUUAGAGGAGGUUAUUUGUUUUACAAUAAAACCAGAAACCUAAAAUCAUGCUUCCCUGAAGAAUGUCUUCUUUGGUUCUCUUAAGUGACUGUGUAUACAUCAUUAAUGACUAGACAGAAAAGCUUUUUUUUUUUUUCUUUCCCUCAGUUGGGAGUAGGUAGAUGUGCAGGCAGAGAAGAUAAAUUAAAGUGCCAGCAAACUAAUGUUUCCUGAAAGUUUGCCAGAAUUGCUGAUAUGGUCCUUGGAAAAAAUAGAGAUAUCCUUACAUCGAUACACUGGUAUAAAAACAUCAAUUCACAUACUACUUUGCUG
ensembl:lncRNA